rnacentral:rRNA from 1 species
GAUGAACGCUAGCGGCGUGCCUAAUACAUGCAAGUCGAGCGAACAGAUAAGGAGCUUGCUCCUUUGACGUUAGCGGCGGACGGGUGAGUAACACGUGGGUAACCUACCUAUAAGACUGGAAUAACUCCGGGAAACCGGGGCUAAUGCCGGAUAACAUUUAGAACCGCAUGGUUCUAAAGUGAAAGAUGGUUUUGCUAUCACUUAUAGAUGGACCCGCGCCGUAUUAGCUAGUUGGUAAGGUAACGGCUUACCAAGGCAACGAUACGUAGCCGACCUGAGAGGGUGAUCGGCCACACUGGAACUGAGACACGGUCCAGACUCCUACGGGAGGCAGCAGUAGGGAAUCUUCCGCAAUGGGCGAAAGCCUGACGGAGCAACGCCGCGUGAGUGAUGAAGGUCUUCGGAUCGUAAAACUCUGUUAUUAGGGAAGAACAAAUGUGUAAGUAACUGUGCACGUCUUGACGGUACCUAAUCAGAAAGCCACGGCUAACUACGUG